CGCACAUUGCGCCCCUUGGUAUUCCGGGGGGCAUGCCUGUUCGAGCGUCAUUUCAACCCUCAAGCUUGGCUUGGUCUUGGGCGGUGCCGGCAACGGCUGGCCCUAAAAUCAGUGGCGGCGCCGCUCGGCUUCAAGCGUAGUAAUAAACCCUCGCUACUGAGACCUGCUGUGUGCUCGCCAGCAACCCCUUAUUUAUCAUGGUUGACCUCGGAUCAGGUAGGGAUACCCGCUGAACUUAA
rnacentral:misc_RNA from 1 species